CACUUACUGUACUUAAAUGUCUUGACUGAUGUCAUGACAUGCUUAAGUAGUAUGCUGCAGGAUUAGCUAAUACAGGAUUUACUGGAUGUCAAAUUGAAUGUUAUGACAUUCAUUCAUGACAGUAUUUUCUGGAUGUCAAACUGAAUGUUAUGACAUUCAUCCCUGACAGCAGAUGCUAAAGUAUAGGCUAAUUUUUCUGUUAUGUUUCAG
rnacentral:lncRNA from 1 species